AUCUCAGGGACGGCUAUCUAAAAACGAUGGUUACGUAUGUAACCGCGGUUCUAUGAGUUUCGGAUGACCGCCAGAGCUCGGCAAUCACUCG